AUGCAUGAUCAGGUCGGCAUCGACCUGGACGGCUUCCCCCUCGAACACGAGUUCCCGGAGGACUGUAGGCUAGAGGAAGAGGACGAGUGCGACAUCGAAGUGGAGCCUUUGUUCAAGGACGAGCUCGCCGACCAAACCGCCGGUCCUAAGCCGAAGCGCAAGAGCAAGCGCACGAAGGCGUACACAGCUGCCGAGGACAAGCUUCUUUGCGACACGCGCGGGUGGGUCUUCAUUUCCAAGCGGUGGAGGGUGAUCGAACAAGAGUGCAACAAGUUUUGUGCCACCCUUGAAAGCGUCAAGGCCCGCCCCGUGAGCGGCAUCGGCGUGCAAGACAUGGCAUUUCAUGCUUUGAAGGCAUUCAAGGUUCAACACAAUGACAAGUGCUUCAACCUCUCCCAUUGCUAUCGGGUCAUCAAGGACGAAGAGAAGUUCAAGGCACAAUAUGCCGCGCUCAAGGCACGUGGGGGGAAGGGCGCCGUGGAGGAUGUUGGGGAGGGCGAGCCGGCACGGCCGCGGGGGAAGACCAACUCCAAGAAGGAGGACAAGCGAGAUGCGGCCACCAACGCCUUGAUCGCAAGCGUGGACGGCAUGAUGAAUAAGAAGGACUCAAGGGAGGAGGAGCGCCGGCGUUUCAAGGUGGAGCAAAUGGAUGCUUUCAUGGAGAUCCAAAGAAGGAGGUUUGAUCUUGACGCCGAGAAGCAAGCCAAGAUGUUCGAGCUCGAGGCGGAAAAGCAAGCCAAGAUGCUAGAGAUCGAGGCCACCAACGCCAAGACAAAGGCGAAAGAAGUGGCUCUUGCAAGCAUGAUGACCGAGGUGGAGAUCAUGAAGAUGGAUCUCAACGCCUUGUCGCCAAGGAAGAGGCCGUGGUUUGAGAAGAUGCAGGCCGACAUGCUCAAGUUCGACGACGAGUGA
rnacentral:rRNA from 1 species